UUCCNCGAAUGGCUAACCUCAAACUUAGAC
rnacentral:piRNA from 1 species